UACGUAGGGCGCAAGCGUUAUCCGGAAUUAUUGGGCGUAAAGAGCUCGUAGGCGGUUUGUCGCGUCUGCCGUGAAAGUCCGGGGCUCAACUCCGGAUCUGCGGUGGGUACGGGCAGACUAGAGUGCAGAAGGGGCAACUGGAAUUCUCGGGUGUAGCGGAUGAAAUGCGUAGAUAUCGAGAGGAACACCUGCGGCGAAGGCGGGUUGCUGGGCUGACACUGACGCUGAAGCGCGAAAGCUAGGGGAGCGAACGGG
rnacentral:rRNA from 1 species